rnacentral:rRNA from 1 species
UGGGGGAUAUUGCACAAUGGGCGCAAGCCUGAUGCAGCGACGCCGCGUGGGGGAUGAAGGCCUUCGGGUUGUAAACUUCUUUUGCUCUGAACAAGGCGCACUUUGGGGUGUGUUGAGUGUAGGGGUUGAUUAGCGCCGGCUAACUACGUGCCAGCAGCCGCGGUAAUACGUAGGGCGCGAGCGUUGUCCGGAAUUAUUGGGCGUAAAGGGCUUGUAGGUGGCUGGUUGCGUCUGUCGUGAAAGCUCAUGGCUUAACUGUGGGUUUGCGGUGGGUACGGGCUGUCUUGAGUGCAGUAGGGGAGGCUGGAAUUCCUGGUGUAGCGGUGGAAUGCGCAGAUAUCAGGAGGAAUACCGGUGGCGAAGGCGGGUCUCUGGGCUGUUACUGACACUGAGGAGCGAAAGCAUGGGGAGUGAACAGG